UACGGAGGGUGCAAGCGUUAAUCGGAAUUACUGGGCGUAAAGCGCGCGUAGGCGGUUUGGUAAGUCGGAUGUGAAAGCCCAGGGCUUAACCUUGGAAUUGCAUUCGAUACUGCUGAACUAGAGUAUGGUAGAGGGAAGUGGAAUUUCCGGUGUAGCGGUGAAAUGCGUAGAUAUCGGAAGGAACACCAGUGGCGAAGUCGACUGCCGGGGCCAAUACUGUCGCUGAGGUGCGAAAGCUUGGGGAGCAAACAGG
rnacentral:misc_RNA from 1 species